GAAGCGCCACGAUACGAAACUUCGGCCGUGGCACUUCCUCGAGCGAUGAGGAGCGAGGGCUGGCGGUGAACGGCUCGCGGGACCUGGAGGACGACUGAGGCUGCACAGGGCGACUCUUCAGGCCGAUCCGUCGACUCGACGACCCGCUCACCAACUACGACUGUGGGAAGACCCGGCUUCGGGCGGUGCGGAUUCAGCAGGCAAUCUCCAGCUUCAGCUCGACUCGCUUCUCGAACACGAGCACACGCCGGAUGGUCCCGAUCGACUCGCCUCUUCCAGCAUCGCAGCUGUAUCGACAUGACGUGCGUACUGAAGAUCAACUUCAGGCGGGACUUCCAGCGAUACAGCUUGGAAGUCCAACCCCGACUGGGUGUUGGGACAGUCUCUCCGAGGUACGAGGCGGGAUCAGGACGGUGAUUCAGGCGUAGUAGCCCAAGCACUCUCUCGUACUGUCGUCAACACCACAAGGUA
rnacentral:misc_RNA from 1 species